rnacentral:lncRNA from 1 species
GCCUGAGUUCUUUGUUUUGUAGAGCUUAAGAAGCAGGAAACGGCUGCAAGGAGCCAAGUUAUCGAUUGGAGGAACGCUCAUGACCGAGUGGCGGAUGAAGCCGAACAUCUUUGGGCCCCGCUCACGGAAGCACAGGCUGCUUGCGAGCAUCAGCGGGACCGAAAGAUGCAGAAUGGCGUGAUGCUUGCCAUGGCCAUGGUGGCAUGCAG